rnacentral:tRNA from 4 species
GGUGGGAUGGCCGAGUGGUUUAAGGCAGCGGUCUUGAAAACCGCCAGGGGUGCAAGCCCCUCGUAGGUUCGAAUCCUACUCCCACCGCCA